rnacentral:rRNA from 1 species
AUUGAACGCUGGAGGCAGGCCUAACCCAUGCAAGUCGAACGAGUGGCGGACGUGUGAGUAAUGUCUGGGAGACUGCCUGAUGGAGGGGGAUAACUACUGGAAACGGUAGCUAAUACCGCAUACCAUCGGAUGUGCCCAGAGGGGAUUAGCUAGUAGGUGGGGUAAAGGCUCACCUUGGCGAAGAUCUCUAGCUGGUCUGAGAGGAUGACCAGCCACACCGGAACUGAUACACGGUCCAGACUCCUACGGGAGGCAGCAGUGGGGCAUAUUGCACAAUGGGCGCAAGCCUGAGGCAGCCAUGCCGCGUGUAUGAAGAAGGCCGUCGGGUUGUAAAGUACUUUCAGCUGGGAGGCGUUACCCGCAGAAGAAGCACCGGCUAACUCCGUGCCAGCAGCCGCGGUUAUAC